rnacentral:rRNA from 1 species
CAGCUUGCUGGAUUUGAAAGUGGCGCACGGGUGCGUAACGCGUAUGCAACCUACCUUAAUCAGGGGGAUAGCCCGGAGAAAUCCGGAUUAACACCGCAUAAAAACACAGGAUAGCAUUAUCCAAUGUUCAAAUAUUUAUAGGAUUGAGAUGGGCAUGCGUGUCAUUAGCUAGUUGGCGGGGUAACGGCCCACCAAGGCGACGAUGACUAGGGGAUCUGAGAGGAUGACCCCCCACACUGGUACUGAGACACGGACCAGACUCCUACGGGAGGCAGCAGUAAGGAAUAUUGGUCAAUGGAGGCAACUCUGAACCAGCCAUGCCGCGUGCAGGAAGACUGCCCUAUGGGUUGUAAACUGCUUUAAACUGCUUUUAUCCGGGAAUAAACCUCUGCUCGUGAGCAGAGCUGAAUGUACCGGAAGAAUAAGGAUCGGCUAACUCCG